AUUCAGUCUCUCUAUCGUGAGUUUCGAUCAGAUGGCAGGUUAUGGAUAAAUUAUCAAAUCUCAACAUCAAUCAUAUGAUAGAUUCAAUUAGCUCAAGUUUGACUGUGAUUCUUAUGAAAACUUUUUUUCAUCAAUCACACUACUAUGGCCAUAGAUUUAAGGACUCAGCCUCUUAAAUUCUAUGAGACUACUCCCUUCUGC
rnacentral:lncRNA from 1 species